rnacentral:rRNA from 1 species
GAUGAACGCUAGCGGGAGGCUUAAUACAUGCAAGUCGAACGGUAACAUUGGGGCUUGCCCCAGAUGACGAGUGGCGCACGGGUGAGUAACGCGUACGCAAUCUACCCCUGACAGUGGGAUAGUCACGGGAAACUGUGAAUAAUACCGCAUAGUUCCUAAUGGUCGCAUGGCCAUGUGGAUAAAGUUGCGGCGGUCAGGGAUGAGCGUGCGUCCGAUUAGCUAGUUGGUGAGGUAACGGCUUACCAAGGCGACGAUCGGUAGGGGGCGUGAGAGCGUGACCCCCCACACGGGUACUGAGACACGGACCCGACUCCUACGGGAGGCAGCAGUAAGGAAUAUUGGACAAUGGGCGAAAGCCUGAUCCAGCCAUCCCGCGUGCAGGAUGACGGCCCUCUGGGUUGUAAACUGCUUUUAUAGAGGAAGAAACGCCAGUAUUUAUACUGGCCUGACGGUACUCUACGAAUAAGCACCGGCUAACUCCG